rnacentral:rRNA from 1 species
CCUGGCUUUCAGAACAAGACUUCGUCUCAAGCUCCAAGAUCGAGUGCUCCGUAUCACCAUCCACUUUCAGAGGUCACGUGCAACAAGUGCCAACAGAAGGGUCACUAUGCCAACAAAUGCUUCAAUCAGAGGCGUCUCCCUCCUCCUCCUCCUAUGAGAUCGGCAAGUACAGCUGUGGUCAAGCAUAACCCCAAGCACGCCAAGGUCAACUUGUUGAACGCAGCUCAGGCAGAGGACUCGCCAGAUGUCAUCAUGGGUAACCUUCCUGUUAACGAUGUUCCUACAAAAGUUCUUUUUGACACUGGUGCAUCACUUUCU